rnacentral:lncRNA from 1 species
AAAUACUUUUUCCAUAGGGUAACUAAUAUUAGGUCAGUCAAGUUGAUGAUGCCUUUCCAUUAACCAUUUGUGUACUAUUAAUAAAAUUACAAAAACAAAAUCAUAAGCUUUCUUAAAAAAAAUUAUUUGGAUUUUUGGCUUCCAUAACAGGGUUCUCUUUAAAUUCUAUUCCAUCUCCCUCAGAGUCAGCUUCCUGAGAAACUUUGCUGCUUCUUUUCAAGAGUUGAAAUAAUUUAUCCAUUAAAUAUUGGUUGGUAGUAGUAGAAAUGCAGGGGUGUAACCUCAUGCUUCCUGGACAAUCUGAUCAAUACGAGUAACGUCAAAUAUCAUUCCUAUGUAUGGAUGACUAUCAAAUCUAAAUCUGCAGUCCAGUUCUCUCUCAAGCUACACAAAAAUAUAUUCAACCAACAAUUUGUCAUUCUCCUCUCAUCACCCACAAGUCAAACUCAUCAUCUUAUCCUCAAAGCCACUUGUAUGGCUUCCCAUUCUCAGUUGAUUGACAUAAUGGUCCACUCAGUGACUUAAACCAGAGCCUGGGACUUCUAUGUUCCAUCUUCUCUCUUUCACUUACAUAUUCAAUCAGUGAACAAAUCAUGCUGAUUUUAUCAAGCAUGAUUUUAUCAAGGAUCUCUUGUGUUCCAGGUCUGCUAUCAUUUCUCACUUCCAAAUCUCCAUAAUUUCUUGGCUUAACUUUUUAUAUCCUUACAGAUUUCUCUAUUUUAGUGUUGCCAUCUUCCCAUUCAUUCUUCCCUCUACCAUUAGAUUUGUAUAAGAUACGAAUCUGAUUGUGUCCCCCGUCUAUUUGCAAUCCAUCAAUAACUCCUUGUGGCUUCAGCCUGACAUCUAAGACUCCACCUACCUGGGCUCCAGCAUCCUGUGACCUACCCAAUAAAGUAUAAAUCUUCAAUCCUCAUUGCUUUGCACAUGCAGUAUCUCCCACCAUUCUCUGUGCUUGGGAAAUCCCUGCUUAUCAAUCAAAACUCAGCUCAAAAUUCCUUGUUCGGUUAACCUUCUCUGAAGAACCUAGUUUACAGAGUUCUCUAUCCCUAGACAAUGAACCCCUUCAGGGAGAAAGACUGUGACUCCUCAAUGCCUUCUAAUAUAAUAUCUGUCUUGUAGAUAAUGCUCAGUAAUCAAGUACAUUUUAGAAAGAGAUGCUAAGAAGAUAUAGACAUAAGAAAGUAAUUAUCCUAUAUAUAAUUAAAGUAUUGAAACAGAAAAAAGACAGACUAUAUAAUAUAUAUGCUCACACAUUAGAACAAACAAAGAAGAUAGAACACAUACUGUCUCAUAUGGCAUUUUCUUGAUUUUGAUUAAUUAAUCCUCAGAUAGUUAGGUAAGCAGAACAAACCAGGAGGAAGAUGGAAAGGGAUCAACAGAUUUUGGUAAUUCAUAAUGGAAGUCAGGUCAUAUCAUUUUAUUUUGCUGUAUGUUGUUUGGCAAAAAAAUAAAUUAGGAAAAACAAAAUAAACAAAAACAACCUAAUGUGGAGUUCCCAUCAUGGCUCAGUGGUUAAUGAAUCCAGCUAGGAACUAUGAGGUUUUGGGUUCCAUCCCUGGUCUCGCUCAGUGGGUUAAGGAUCUGUCAUAUUCUUUUCUGCUGCACCAUGAUGGGAACUCCUAAAAUGUAAAUAUUUUACUUAUUCUAAAAGUAGAACAAAAAAUUCUACUUAAAUUAAAUUAAAAUAAGACAAAAAGUUUGCAUACCUUUGCUCAAGCUCUUUAUAUCCUAAGCAAACGUCUGACCACUUUUUGGGCUUUCUGGAUAAAAUAAUACCAGGAAAGAAGUUUCCCAGAAAAGCAUUACAACCUCCAUGUUAACACGAUAAUAAGAAUGUAGAUUUGCUUCAUAUACUUUUUUUCACAAGGCAUGUGACUGGUGUGAAUCUGAGUACCAGAUACUAGGCAACACUAGGACACUGACGCUACGAUGGGCCAGAGCCAUAAGGAUGGUGUAUUCAUCAAGAUCAAUCUUGUGAAUUUAUAAGCCUGUUGAGUAAACAGCCAUUAAGACUUAACCUGUUAUCACUCAGAAUAUAUGGUUGUCUUUCUAUUACUGUUAAGUACUUAAUAAUUGUUACAUUGAAUUACAUGAAAACACUUUUACAUUUUAAAUACUGAUAUAUUUGCAAUGCAGAAGACUGAACAGUAAACUCAAAUGGAUUAUGCACUUAAAACUGCUUUCACUUCAAUACAGAGGACAUUGAUGGAGAGCACAGAUGCAAAGCUUUACUUACUUAAAUUUAACAAAGUCUGACUUGUUUAUUUUAAACUAUCACUUCAUUCUGAUCUCCACAACCUUGCUCCCUCUUCCCACGACCCUUUACAUGCAGUUUAAACUUUAUUUUCAUUAUUAUUGAGGUCUAUAUUUAUUUCAUCCUCAUUUAGAACAAGCUUUAGAAAUUUGUCUUCUUGUUUAUGCAGAAAAUGGUAGAAAAUAAAGACUAACUUCGUGUGUAACUUAAGAUUAUAUACAAAGCAUUCAUAUAACUGCACCUGGUUAUUAAUAACUAUUAUAUAUUAUGUUACAACUAUGUCUAAUCAUUACACAGCUUAUCUGCAUGUUAAUAAUGUCAAAUUCAUAGCAAACUAAAACCUGUAUGAUGUCAAAACUUGAAUAAAUAUUAUUAAUAUACUGUCACCUUUUAAGUUGUAAAAUAUCUCUUCUGUAUCUUCAUAAAAUAAGUUUUGGAAUGUAUGAAAAAGAGAUGCUUUUUCUUGAGGCUAACCAAUUCCUUUAAGAUGUUUAGGGAACAAGAGCCCUUACACCCCUAUGGAUAUACUGAACAUAAUUAACCCAGGCAGGAAACAAGAAGUUUAUCAGCACCACACAGCAUCUGAUCCUCAGCGCUUGUCUUCAAAACUCAGUUAUGCUUUAGAGUCUCCAAUUCAGUUCCAGCUAAUGUGAGAUUUCAUAUAUAAGAUUUUGACUUCUGGAAAGUCUCUCAUUGAGUGUGUUUGGAAGCCAGGUAUUGACCUUAUUGCUCAUCACGGACAUAGUGACUUCCCAGAUUACAAAUAAAAUCUUAUUGGGACCAGUGCUCUCCUGUUGAUGACCUGCUCAGGUAUUAAUUCCAACUUGUAAAGUCUCUGCCUGGAAGAAUGCCACAUUUGUGAGUAGUCUUGACUUCUGACAUACAAGUUGUUUGAGUAAGAUAGUGCUUCUUCUCAGAGUCAGAGAAAAUCAAAUGCAUUUCCUGGGCAGCUGUGAUGUGUGUGAUAUCAAAAACUACACAUAAGAAAUGAUGCCUAGAUAUCAUUCCCUUUGAAUUUUAAAGGCUGAGUGAAAAGUCAGAGAACAGAUGAAUGAUGCUAACGGAAACAGAAGGAAAUGUAAGAAUGAAUGAAAGAAAGAAAAUAUUUUCUUCUAUACUUUUUAAAAAUCAUUGCUAGACCCUCUUAAUUAUGAAAGUUAGAAUCAUUAGGUAGCUGAUCACUAAUUCAGCAAAAUCAUACUCAAUUUCAUGUAAAGAGUCAAAAAGGAAGUUGAUGAGAACUUUUGCAUAAUAGUACUCAUAAUCUUAUACUAUCAGUUAGCAUAUAUGAUAAUAUUUUUUUAAAUAUAACCUUAAUAUUUGCAAGUGUUAAAUGCAUGAUAAAUGAAGUAAAAUGAGGGAAGGCAAAUUAUUGGGUUAAUUCAGAUCUCUUGGGAUAUAUGUAUGACUGGGGAAGGAGACAGAAACUGUAAUUAACUAGAUGAUUAUUGGACAGACAGAUCAAUUUAACAUCUGUAGAUUAUCUCAUUUAUACAUCAUGUCACUUUGCACGGUUCCUAGAACAUAACUUAAUAAAUGUUCUUAAUAACAUGCUUAAUAAAUGCGUUUUAUCAUAGUCAGAGGGAAGAGUUUUUUUAUUGUUUGUGUUAGAGGUGGUGUUUCUGUACUCUUCAGAUGCUUUGCCUCCACAACACUUUAUAAUGGACUCCAAUCUCAGGUUAGUAAGUGCUAUAAACUAUUAUAUAAAAAUUAUGAAGUGGGGGUUACGGUAUUGGUUUAGCUUUGAAAACUAUUAAGUAUCAGUUAAUGAAAGAGAAAGCCCAGAAAAAAACAACCCACAAUACUUAGUAAGAAAAGCCCUGACAUUUGCAAUACAAGAUGUUUGGAUAAGAGUGGGAAACAACAAGGCAAUUCAUGGCAUUUUUCCUCUCUUCUCUCCCAACUUUGAGUUCCUUCCCAUAGUCUACUGACAUGCAAAAGGAAUAGAAAGCUUCUCAGACCUAUUCUGUUUCCC